CCUACGGGAGGCAGCAGUGGGGAAUAUUGGGCAAUGGGCGCAAGCCUGACCCAGCAACGCCGCGUGAAGGAAGAAGGCUUUCGGGUUGUAAACUUCUUUUAAGAGGGAAGAGCAGAAGACGGUACCGCUUGAAUAAGCCACGGCUAACGACGUGCCAGCAGUCGCGGUAAUACGUAGGAGGCAAGCGUUGUCCGGAUUUACUGGGUGUAAAGGGCGUGAAGCCGGGAAGACAAGUCAGAUGUGAAUUCCCGCGGCUCAACCGCGGAACUGCAUUUGAAACUGUUUUUCUUGUGUGACUGAGAGGUCGUCGGAAUGCGUUGUGUAGCGGUGAAAUGCGUAGAUAUAAGGAAGAACACCGGUUGCGAAGGCAGAUGACUGGGCGGCAACUGACGGUGAGGCGCGAAAGCGUGGGGAGCAAACAGGAUUAGAUACCCCUGUAGUC
rnacentral:rRNA from 1 species